rnacentral:rRNA from 1 species
UACGUAGGGUGCAAGCGUUGUCCGGAAUCAUUGGGCGUAAAGAGCUCGUAGGCGGCCUGUCGCGUCGGCUGUGAAAACCCGGGGCUCAACCCCGGGCCUGCAGUCGAUACGGGCAGGCUAGAGUGCGGUAGGGGGAACUGGAAUUCAUGGUGUAGCAGUGAAAUGCGUAGAGAUCAUGAGGAAGGCCAGUGGCGAAGGCGAGUCUCUGGACAGUUCCUGACACUGAGACACGAAGGCCAGGGGAGCAAACAGG